CGCAGAUGACUGAAACUUUGAGUCCAUGAGACACUAAUCAACAGAUGACCAUGAAUGCAGCUGAUGCUGUCAUUCCUGUGGAAAGCUCCCAGCAUGCUGUCUUGUUAGAGACGCAGAUGACUGAAACUUUGAGUCCAUGAGACACUAAUCAACAGAUGACCAUGAAUGCAGCUGAUGCUGUCAUUCCUGUGGAAAGCUCCCAGCAUGCUGUCUUGUUAGAGACGCAGAUGACUGAAACUUUGAGUCCAUGAGACACUAAUCAACAGAUGAAAGGCACAGAUGUUGAAGAUUCAAAUGAAGUAUCCGACUCUAUACAAGUUUGUAUUGUUGCUUUCAGUUUUGUCUUGAGAGAACGCAAAUGAGCAGGACUCAAUAAAAAGUUUAAAUGUAUAAUUUAAAUGAGAGUUUGACUUCUUGAACUAAGGAAAUUAUUUUUUACUAUGAAGUAAUGCAGCAAACAACACAGACAAACAUGAAUACUAGUUUUAGGGUUGUUGAGUAUUCUGUGACUGAGAAGUACAAUAUUCCACAGUUUCUGGGUAGUUGACUGUGGUUAAAAAUAAGAACCAUGUGAGACGUAAACAAAGAAUAACCCUUACAGUGAAAUUAAGGUUGAAAAGUUUGAUGGGUGAGACAACAAUUUAGUAAUUCACUACUAAAUUCUUGGUACUUAAGUGACCCCUGAUAUCAAGAUUAAGUUAGAACAAUGUCUCUAGUAUAAAUGAUAUGUAAAUCAUUUGAUUCCCAUUUUAUUUGUAUAACAAAUUGUAUGUUUACCCUGUUUUCGCUAUAAAUAAAAACUAAAAAAGUAUAUUGGUUCUGGAAUAAAUAAUGUUAUUGUGUUAUGUACAGUACUUUUGUGCAGUUUGGUUUACAAUGUGGAAUUGUGAUUCACAACAGUAUCCAACCCUACUUAAGAAUCCUCUUAUAUUACCACAAACCACGAGCACAGUAGUUCUUAAAGCUUAAAAUACACAUUUUCUUUAGUGAAAAUAUCCUAAUGACACACUUUCUGCAUUAAUUUUGGUGCUGCUAAAGUAGAUUAUAUCAUUUGCAUUAUUGUGGUUUAAUUCUAGUAUUUGGUCUGAUGCCUGUGGAUAGCAGCUUGAUAACUUUAUGAAAAAUCUAUUAUUAAAGACAUAACCUGGUUGGUAGAGGACAGCUCCAUUGCAGCUUCAUAGCAGUUUACAGUACGAAGGAAUCACAAAGUGGUUAUAUUAUGCACUGCCAUUGUUGUAGUGAACCUUGUGAUCAAAAGAAGACAGGUAAAAUGCAAUAAUCUGAGGAUUAUAUCACUUAAGCUUGUUGUUUUACCAUGGUCCCCAUUAAUCAAUUGGAAAUCUGUGUAAAUUAUGCAAAUUAUAUUUAAAUGAGGUCCCCCACAAACAUGUUUACUGGAUUUUACAUAGGUCCCCAGUUAGCAUGAUGAAAACCUUACUUCAUCAAUUCAGAUAUUUGAAGUCGUGUAUGAGCUAACCAACCAAUGGUGAGUGUGCCUGAUUUUUUUCAUACCUCUAGAACCUCUAGAAAGGGUGGUCCCCGCAAGUGAUGAUCAGAAAUUUGGUCCCCAUUGCAAAUGGUAACCAGUAUGUGUGUGUGUGUGUGUGUGUGUGUGUGUGUGUGUGUGUGUGUGUGUGUGUGUGUGUGUGUGUGUGUGGAGAGUGUGUGUGUGUGUGUGUUGGCAUUCAUCACGUCCUGGGGACAACAAACUGUUUACACAGUCACGUCAUGGGGACCUCUAACAGUAUGGGGACGAAAAAUGAGGUCCCCUAAAGGGAAACUCUUUUAAAUGAAUGCAGGAGUCUAUCUGAAGGUGCCUGUGUGGUUUUUAGCUUUGGCCCAUUGGGCAUGUUUUCCAGUUAGUGUGUGUGUGUGAACGGGGCAUGCUUGCGCCCCUUACUGUAUGAGCUGGUAAGGCACUCACCGUUCCACACACACAGAUCUUCCAAAUAUGGUAUGUUACCGCCCACUUCCUGGUCCCCAUUAAGAAGGAUUUUAGGAGCAAACACAAUUUUCAGUGUUUAAAGGGAGCAUCGCAAAGGCCCUUCAAUUAAAGAUGUUUGUCACAUAAAAAGAGGAACUACAACACCACAAGGUAAGCAAUAUUAUCUUAUUUACUUACUUGCUAUAAUCAUUAUUUGUAUAGAUGACCAUUUUAAACCACUAAUGAGGUUAAUUAGUGUUAAUUAGUUAGUAGGAUAGCUAGUUAGCUUUAAUUAGCAACAGAAGGCUAGUGUAACUAGCAAAUUUACAAUGUUUUACUAACAAUGUUUUUAGCUUUCCCUGAAAGCUACUGUUAGUUGUUACAUGAUGGAUGGAUUCUGUGCAUUUCUAGGAGUUUAUACCAACUAAAAAAAGUGAAAUAUUUUUCAGUGUGUAACAGAGAAAUUUAAAAUACAUUUCCAGGUAAGGAAUUUAGUAAUAUAUAGAGGUGUAACUUAAUCCUAGGUAUAUAUAGGUGAGAUAUAUUAUAGAAAAAUUGUAAAGAGAUGUUUUGAUG